GAUGAACGCUAGCGAUAGGCUUAACACAUGCAAGUCGAGGGGCAGCAUGGUCUUAGCUUGCUAAGACUGAUGGCGACCGGCGCACGGGUGCGUAACGCGUAUGCAACUUGCCUCACAGAGGGGGAUAACCCGUCGAAAGACGGACUAAUACCGCGUACACUCUAUUUUGGGCAUCCAAGGUAGAGGAAAUGAAAUUCGCUGUGAGAUAGGCAUGCGUCCCAUUAGCUAGUUGGUGAGGUAACGGCUCACCAAGGCGACGAUGGGUAGGGGAACUGAGAGGUUGAACCCCCACACUGGUACUGAGACACGGACCAGACUCCUACGGGAGGCAGCAGAGAGGAAUAUUGGUCAAUGGGCGAGAGCCUGAACCAGCCAAGUCGCGUGAAGGAUGACUGUCUUAUGGAUUGUAAACUUCUUUUGUAGGGGAAUAAAGAGGGGCACGUGUGCCCCAGUGAAUGUACCCUACGAAUAAGCAUCGGCUAACUCCGUG
rnacentral:rRNA from 1 species